AUUGAACGCUGGCGGCAGGCCUAACACAUGCAAGUCGAACGAGUGGCGGACGGGUGUGUAAUGUCUGGGAAACUGCCUGAUGGAGGGGGAUAACUACUGUAAACGGUAGCUAAUACCGCAUAACGUCGGAUGUGCCCAGAUGGGAUUAGGUAGUAGGUGGGGUAAAGGCUCACCUAGGCGACGAUCCCUAGCUGGUCUGAGAGGAGGACCAGCCACACUGGAACUGAGACACGGUCCAGACGCCUACGGGAGGCAGCAGUGGGGAAUAUUGCACAAUGGGCGCAAGCCUGAUGCAGCCAUGCCGCGUGUAUGAAGAAGGCCUUCGGGUUGUAAAGUACUUUCAGCGGAGAAGCGGUACCCGCAGAAGAAGCACCGGCUAACUCCGUGCCAGCAGCCGCGGUAAUAC
rnacentral:rRNA from 1 species